AGCGAACGCUGGCGGCAGGCUUAACACAUGCAAGUCGAGCGGGCACUUUCGGGUGUCAGCGGCCGACGGGUGAGUAACGCGUGGGAACGUGCCCUUUGGUUCGGAAUCACUCAGGGAAACUUGAGCUAAUACCGGAUACGCUCUUUUGGGGAAAGGCUUGCUGCCGGAGGAUCGGCCCGCGUCUGAUUAGCUAGUUGGUGAGGUAACGGCUCACCAAGGCGACGAUCAGUAGCUGGUCUGAGAGGAUGAUCAGCCACACUGGGACUGAGACACGGCCCAGACUCCUACGGGAGGCAGCAGUGGGGAAUAGUGGACAAUGGGCGCAAGCCUGAUCCAGCCAUGCCGCGUGAGUGAUGAAGGCCUUAGGGUUGUAAAGCUCUUUUAUCCAGGACGAUAAUGACGGUACCGGAGGAAUAAGCCCCGGCUAACUUCGUG
rnacentral:rRNA from 1 species